rnacentral:rRNA from 1 species
UACGUAGGGGGCAAGCGUUGUCCGGAUUUAUUGGGCGUAAAGAGCGUGUAGGCGGCCAGGUAGGUCCGCUGUGAAAACUCGAGGCUCAACCUCGAGAUGUCGGCGGAAACCAUCUGGCUCGAGUCCGGAAGAGGAGUGUGGAAUUCCUGGUGUAGCGGUGAAAUGCGCAGAUAUCAGGAGGAACACCAAUGGCGAAGGCAGCACUCUGGGACGUGACUGACGCUGAGACGCGAAAGCGUGGGGAGCAAACAGG